rnacentral:rRNA from 1 species
AGAGUUUGAUCCUGGCUCAGAACGAACGCUGGCGGUAUGCCUAACACAUGCAAGUCGAACGCGAACGGAAUCNUCGGAUUCCUAGUAGAGUGGCGCACGGGUGAGUAACACGUGGAUAACCUGCCCUAAAGUCUGGGAUAACACUUCGAAAGGGGUGCUAAUACCGGAUAAGCUCACGCCUUCUUCGGAAGAAGUGAGAAAAGAUUUAUUGCUUUAGGAUGGGUCCGCGGUCCAUUAGCUAGUUGGUGGGGUAACGGCCUACCAAGGCUGCGAUGGAUAGCUGGUCUGAGAGGAUGAUCAGCCACACUGGAACUGAGACACGGUCCAGACUCCUACGGGAGGCAGCAGUGGGGAAUUUUGCGCAAUGGGGGAAACCCUGACGCAGCAAUACCGCGUGAAGGAUGAAGGCCCUUGGGUCGUAAACUUCUGUCAGAGGGGAAGAAAUACUCGCAAGAGUGCUGACGGUACCCUCAAAGGAAGCACCGGCUAACUCCGUGCCAGCAGCCGCGGUAAUACGGAGGGUGCAAGCGUUGUUCGGAAUUAUUGGGCGUAAAGAGCAUGUAGGUGGACUAUUAAGUCUGGUGUGAAAGCCCGGGGCUCAACCCCGGAAGUGCAUCGGAUACUGGUAGUCUUGAGUAUGGGAGAGGAAAGUGGAAUUCCGAGUGUAGGAGUGAAAUCCGUAGAUAUUCGGAGGAACACCAGUGGCGAAGGCGGCUUUCUGGACCAAUACUGACACUGAGAUGCGAAAGCGUGGGGAGCGAACAGGAUUAGAUACCCUGGUAGCC